UGAGGGAGCCCUACAUCAGACUGUCCUGCUGGCCUGUGUUUAAGACAUGCACACGCGUGAGUGGUGGACACUUCUGUUCAGAUCCCUUCUCCCCUUUGGGCAGAGAGAGGGGAAUUGAGGCAGGAUCUCCCACCUCCCGGCAGCAUCUAGGAACCCCAGUCAAGGAUCAGGGCCCUAUUGUUCUGGGUGCUGUGCAAACAACUAACGAGGAAGGCAAUCCUCGCCCCAGAGCGUUUACAAUUCAGGUGUCAAAAGACAGAGAAAACUGACCAAUGGGGUGGCAGCUGGUGGGAGGAUGAGGUAAUAAAAUGAAGAGAGUUUAGCAGAAAAACGGACGUCUCAGCUCACCAUUUGCCUCGCCAAUGCCAGAGGGCAGCGAGCUGCAGGAAUCAGAGCAGAGACUUAGUUACCUGGCAGAACACGCUCUAGAAUGGACGGCGAGACAUCAGGAAAGAACACGCCAUCCCCUAUAACAUUCGGAUCGUACACUCUUGGCUGCUGUGGAAAAUGUGGUUG